GACGAACGCUGGCGGCGUGCCUAAUACAUGCAAGUAGAACGCUGAAGAGAGGAGCUUGCUCUUCUUGGAUGAGUUGCGAACGGGUGAGUAACGCGUAGGUAACCUGCCUUGUACCGGGGGAUAACUAUUGGAAACGAUAGCUAAUACCGCAUAACAAUGGAUGACACAUGUCAUUUAUUUGAAAGGGGCAAUUGCUCCACUACAAGAUGGACCUGCGUUGUAUUAGCUAGUAGGUGAGGUAACGGCUCACCUAGGCGACGAUACAUAGCCGACCUGAGAGGGUGAUCGGCCACACUGGGACUGAGACACGGCCCAGACUCCUACGGGAGGCAGCAGUAGGGAAUCUUCGGCAAUGGGGGCAACCCUGACCGAGCAACGCCGCGUGAGUGAAGAAGGUUUUCGGAUCGUAAAGCUCUGUUGUAAGUCAAGAACGAGUGUGAGAGUGGAAAGUUC
rnacentral:rRNA from 1 species